rnacentral:rRNA from 1 species
UACGUAGGUGGCAAGCGUUGUCCGGAUUUAUUGGGCGUAAAGCGAGCGCAGGCGGUCUUUUAAGUCUGAUGUGAAAGCCCCCGGCUUAACCGGGGAGGGUCAUUGGAAACUGGGAGACUUGAGUGCAGAAGAGGAAAGCGGAAUUCCAUGUGUAGCGGUGAAAUGCGGAGAUAUUAGGAGGAACACCAGUGGCGAAGGCGGCUUACUGGACGAUCACUGACGUUGAGGCGCGAAAGCGUGGGGAGCAAACAGGAUUAGAUACCCUUGUAGUCCACGCCGUAAACGAUGAGUGCUAAGUGUUGGAGGGUUUCCGCCCUUCAGUGCUGCAGCAAACGCAUUAAGCACUCCGCCUGGGGAGUACGACCGCAAGGUUGAA